UAUUUUUAAUCGGUUGAACAAUCUACGUAAAAACGCAGAAUCAAAUACUUUUUUUUGCCAAAUUAUUGUUAGAUGAUUUGCUUUAUAUUGUCUUUCUUUUCUACAUGUCACCCUUUUUUUAUAAAGAAAAUUAGGAUGGAUGAUCAUCAACUAACUUGCCCUAGUUUAUCUUAGAUGAUUGUUUUACAAGUUAAAUAUUUGUUUCUUUGAAAUUAGGAGUCAGCCCUUCCCUUCAUCACUAGAUCAGUACGUACCGGUAUCUGACUCCCUUUAUUACAACGCAACCUCAAACUUUCUCAACGAUCUUUCAGUGUAUUUGAAUUUCUCUUAACCUAAUUAAUCUGAUUGCAAGUUUGACUUAUGAAAUUAAAAAGUAUACUCAGAUUUUGUUUACUCUGUACUUUCUAUUCAUACAAUAAAACAAAAGUGGAAAACAUUGAAGAGCUUUCUUUGUUUCCAAUCAGCAAUUUGGACAAAUGCACUUCUAGUUCUCUUUUUUUGUACCUACUAACAUUUUUAUUGUGUUUCGGAAGAAACAAUGAUGAGCAAAGUUUUUUCAGUUUAAGGUUGGUAAAUGGUACAUGUAAAUAAUGUAUCUAAGACAGAAACUUUGAAUUUUCAAAUAUAUAUUCCUAUCCAUUUUUUAUUCCACUCUGUUUGACUUUUUGCCCGCGCUAUAGUUUGAAUGCAAUACUUGCUUGGUUCAUACACACAUUUGCUAAAACACAAAGUAUAUGUAUGCGUAUAAUUAAGUAUUUUCCGAUGAUAUUGAAACCAGGUAGAAAAUUUUCAAUAAAGUUACUACAUAUAUUUUUUUCAGAUGAUCUAGUGGUGUAAGACUAUAUAUAAAUCAAUUACUGAAUAGUUUACCUAAAAAAAAAAGAGAAGACAAUAAUAUUUUAGCAAAAAAAAAAAGAAGAAGACAAUAAUAGUAUUUGAUUAAAAGGAAAAAUAUAAAGUAAUGGGUGUAAUGCUUAAUGAUAUAAGGUCGAUUCUGAGGGAAAGGGUGUGUCCAAAGGUGUAGGACAUCAAACAUGAAUAGGUACGGAGAGAAAGUGAUGUGUCCCCAAAAAGUAGCUCUGUUAUUAUGCAUUUCUGUUUUACCAAUCUUUCUUGGACUGACCUCUUCAGUCUUUCUUUCUCUCUUAUUUUUUUAUACUCUUAUUACUUUUUAGGUUUUUAUUUUCUGCGUCCACACAAAUAUUAAUGCACAUAUUGUGAUAUAAUAUUGGGCUAUUCAAGUAGAUGACUACAUAAGAAGUUGAAUGUAUCUCCUUUUCAUGCUUCCACCGUAGUAAGAAUAAGGAUGCUCAUGCCCUUGCUAAACAAGCCUUAUUUGUGGAAGCUAAUGUAUUGAACUCUGGGUUAUAUAACCUUUUGAGUGAAAGUUUGUGUUACAAUAAAAAAAACAUAAAAAGAUUUAGGGAAAUUCUUUUAAAUAGUCAUUUUUAAGUUUUUGUCAUAAAAAUAGUUCUCAAAAAGAAAAUGGCCAAAAUAGUCCUUUUUAUUUUAUUAUUUUUAAAAAAUUUGAAACUCUAUCCCCAAAACAUCACCCCUUAACUCUAACCUUUAAGUUUAGAUUAGUUAACCAUAGAAUAUUACCCUUUAGUAAAACUCUAGGUCUAAACUCUAAAUACAUUUUUACCCUUUAAUAAAACUUAUUUUGGUCAUUUUCUUCAUUGAAAGCUAUUUUUGUGACAAAAACUUAAAAAUUGAUAUCUUAGGGAAUUUCUCAAGGACUUUAACUAGGUAGAUAAAAAAAGAAACUUUUAUUUAAAACCCCAGAAACUUAGGCAUGGUUUAUAACUUUGAUAAGAUUAUAAAAUUAGUACUUGUCAUUCUCGAUCUUUAGCAGAUUUUUAUAUUCCUUUUUAUAAGAACUUGCUUACAAAUUCAGAGAUAAGCUCCAAAAACUCUACAUGUUGAAUGCUUCUGAUUCAAAAAGCUAGUCUUCAACCUCAAGCAAUAAUAGAGGUCAUAAUGUAAAGUUCUCAAUUUCCUCCAAAACAGAUUAUCAGACACAAUUCCUACUAAAAGACACAUAAUACAAAUCCAAAAUUUAAUUUAAACAGGAUACAAGUUUGCAAGUGAAAUACAAUAAAAAUGUCUUGGUUUCAGUUUCUUCCCAGUGAAACUGAACUGAAUCCUGGUUAUGGUAGAAAGUUAGUCAUACUUCGAGUUUUUUUUCAGUUGGGUGUUUUAGUUUUACUUUCUAACAUUUUACUGUACUAAUCAAAUCCAAAAGAUACUUGUGUUUUCCAUCACCUUGAAUAUGACAUUAAAUCUUGAUACUUGAUCCUUGCGGGAUUAGAUUUAUAGCGGUUUUAGAAUCCCUCCAUCUUCCAAGUAACUAGUAAAAUCUUAUGCGUCUAAUCUAUUGUUUGUUCUAUAUUGCUUCAGUUUUCUCUCACUAUUCAUAUUUUUUUCUUUUUCUUGUGUGCUUUGAUGAUUUUCAAAAGACUCUUUGUGUCGCUUCUUGAUCUCGCGAAUUCAUUCAUCAGAAUAGUUUAUAUAGUUAGUUGCUUACAAACACAAGAGCUUCUGUCAAAUUUCAAGUUCUAGUGAGAAACAUAUAAAAUAUAAUGAAACGUAUCAUUCUUGAUCAGAAGCAUCCUUAACCCCUUGAAUAUCAGAAGAUUGAAUCAAAUAUAUCAAGAGGGUAACCACUACAUUCAUAUUCAAUUUGGCAUCGUACAUAGAAAAGAGGCUGUCUGGUACUGUUAAAAAAGGUUAACCAUGUCAUAUAUUAGCCAUGCAUAACAAUGUUGACCCAAGAAACAGUUAUAAUAUUUUGAAAUAAUAUUUCAUGAAAGCAAUUAGGUUUAUAUAUAUAUAUAUAUAUAUAAUUAUUUCAUUAUCUAAUCUUUAUAUAUAAAGAAGACUUUGAAUCCCUCCCAGCUAUGCCACAUAGAAUGCCAACGCACAAAUUGAGUUCAGGAGCGUCCGACACGUGUCCCAUAUCAUUAAACUAUGCGUUUUAUUAAUUCAAAAAUUUCCUGUGAUUGGGCUUUUCAUUUGGGUUAUUUGCUGCUGUGUGUUUGGACUGCGAAAAAUGACGAGUUAUUCUUCCCACCUUUAAUAAACCAAACUUCUCUCAUCAGUUUCGUUUAAACAAGACCACCGUUCUGGUGGCCGGUGACUUUAGUCGCCGGUUACCAUCUCUUUUUGUUGUAUAAUAUCUUCGAUCAUUAGAUCGACUUAGUUUUCCGGAAUCAAUCUUUGCUCUGACUCACAAGCAAAGUCUCCUUGUUGAUAAAGAACAGAGAUGAUAGUUGAAGCAGUGGGAAAGACGGAGUCUGUAAAAGACGUUCCGACAAGGAUUUGUUGCUAUCUCCUUGAAGCUUCUCUCAAAGUUCACCUCUGGUAAAUUGAAGAAGAACUUCCAGGGAUUGACGGUGAUCAAGAGUUGUAGAAGCAAGCAAGUGGAACAAACUAUCCGGAGAGAGAGACCGGUGGAUUCGUACCGACAUGUAGCCGGCGAACCAUGGAUCAAUCUCACAGUUUCCAGAAAAUUCGAAGCUCCUGCAUAUGCUACACGUGUCUUGCAUUAAGUUAAUAUUAUCUUCUUAGCUUGGGCUUCAUAUUGGGCUUAAUUUCAAUUUUGUAAGGGAAUGGUUUGUCUAUUUGUAAUGGGUUUUCGUUUAAUAAAACGAAAUGGUUGACAAAAAAAAAAAAGAUAUUCUUCCCACCUUUCACUCACGUCAUUAAAUAUG